AGAGUUUGAUCAUGGCUCAGAACGUACGCUGGCGGCGUGCUUAACACAUGCAAGUCGAACGCGAAAGUUGUCCUUCGGGAUGGCGAGUAGAGUGGCAGACGGGUGAGUAACACGUGGGAAACCUACCCCUAGGCGGGGGAUAACAACUGGAAACGGUUGCUAAUACCGCAUAAGACUACGAAUCUUCGGGUUAGUAGUUAAAGUCUUCGGACACCAAGGGAGGGGCCCGCGGUUGAUUAGCUAGUUGGUGGGGUAAAGGCCUACCAAGGCAACGAUCAAUAGCUGGUCUGAGAGGAUGAUCAGCCACACUGGUACUUAGACACGGACCAGACUCCUACGGGAGGCAGCAGUGGGGAAUAUUGCGCAAUGGGCGAAAGCCUGACGCAGCAACGCCGCGUGUGUGAAGAAGGCUUUCGGGUCGUAAAACACUGUCAGGUGGGAAGAAACCUACCCUUGAGGUAGCUGACGGUACCACCAAAGGAAGCACCGGCUAACUCCGUGCCAGCAGCCGCGGUAAUACGGAGGGUGCAAGCGUAGUUCGGAAUUACUGGGCGUAAAGGGCGCGUAGGCGGCUUGUCGGGUCUGAUGUGAAAGCCCGGGGCUCAACCCCGGAAGUGCAUUGGAAACUGGCAAGCUUGAGUUCGGAAGAGGAGGGCAGAAUUCCCGGUGUAGGGGUGGAAUCCGUAGAUAUCGGGAGGAAAAUCAGUGGCGAAAGGNGGCCCUCUGGUACGAAACUGACGCUAAGGNGCGAAAGCGUGGGGAGCAAACAGGAUUAGAGACCCNGGNAGUCCACGCCGUAAACGAUGGAUACUAGNNNUGGGAUCAUUAAUGAUCUCAGUGC
rnacentral:rRNA from 1 species